rnacentral:rRNA from 1 species
UACGAAGGUGGCGAAUGAUGCUCGGAUUCACUGGGCGUAAAGCGUUGGUAGGUGGUUAUUUAAGUUAGAGGUGAAAGCCCCGUGCUCAACAUGGGAAUUGCCUUUAAAACUGGAAAACUAGAAUAUGGAAGAGGAUGGUAGAAUUGCUGGUGUAGAGGUAAAAUUCGUAGAUAUCAGCAGGAAUACCCAUGGCGAAGGCAGCCAUCUGGUCCAUUAUUGACACUGAGCAACGAAAGCGUGGGGAGCAAACAGG